AAGUCGAGCGGAUGAAGGGAGCUUGCUCCCUGAUUCAGCGGCGGACGGGUGAGUAAUGCCUAGGAAUCUGCCUGGUAGUGGGGGACAACGUCUCGAAAGGGACGCUAAUACCGCAUACGUCCUACGGGAGAAAGCAGGGGACCUUCGGGCCUUGCGCUAUCAGAUGAGCCUAGGUCGGAUUAGCUAGUUGGUGAGGUAAUGGCUCACCAAGGCGACGAUCCGUAACUGGUCUGAGAGGAUGAUCAGUCACACUGGAACUGAGACACGGUCCAGACUCCUACGGGAGGCAGCAGUGGGGAAUAUUGGACAAUGGGCGAAAGCCUGAUCCAGCCAUGCCGCGUGUGUGAAGAAGGUCUUCGGAUUGUAAAGCACUUUAAGUUGGGAGGAAGGGCAUUAACCUAAUACGUUGGUGUUUUGACGUUACCGACAGAAUAAGCACCGGCUAACUCUGUGCCAGCAGCCGCGGUAAUACAGAGGGUGCAAGCGUUAAUCGGAAUUACUGGGCGUAAAGCGCGCGUAGGUGGUUUGUUAAGUUG
rnacentral:rRNA from 1 species